rnacentral:snRNA from 1 species
UAACUCUGGUUUCCCUUCAAAACGCAUAAAUCUUUCGCCUUUUACUAAAGAUUUCCGUGGAGGGGAACACUCAAAUGAGUCUAUAACAUUUUUUGAAAACCUUGCUUCGGCAGGGUU